rnacentral:rRNA from 1 species
UACGUAGGUGGCAAGCGUUGUCCGGAUUUACUGGGCGUAAAGAGUAUGUAGGCGGAUAUUUAAGUCAGAUGUGAAAUUCCCGGGCUUAACCUGGGAGCUGCAUUUGAUACUGGAUAUCUAGAGUGCGGGAGAGGAAAGUGGAAUUCCUAGUGUAGCGGUGAAAUGCGUAGAGAUUAGGAAGAACACCAGUGGCGAAGGCGACUUUCUGGACCGUAACUGACGCUGAGAUACGAAAGCGUGGGGAGCAAAC